GAUGAACGCUGGCGGCGUGCCUAAUACAUGCGAGUCGAGCGAACAGACGAGGAGCUUGCUCCUCUGACGUUAGCGGCGGACGGGUGAGUAACACGUGGAUAACCUACCUAUAAGACUGGGAUAACUUCGGGAAACCGGAGCUAAUACCGGAUAAUAUAUUGAACCGCAUGGUUCAAUAGUGAAAGACGGUUUUGCUGUCACUUAUAGAUGGAUCCGCGCCGCAUUAGCUAGUUGGUAAGGUAACGGCUUACCAAGGCAACGAUGCGUAGCCGACCUGAGAGGGAGAUCGGCCACACUGGAACUGAGACACGGUCCAGACUCCUACGGGAGGCAGCAGUAGGGAAUCUUCCGCAAUGGGCGAAAGCCUGACGGAGCAACGCCGCGUGAGUGAUGAAGGUCUUCGGAUCGUAAAACUCUGUUAUUAGGGAAGAACAAAUGUGUAAGUAACUAUGCACGUCUUGACGGUACCUAAUCAGAAAGCCACGGCUAACUACGUG
rnacentral:rRNA from 1 species